AGACUUGUUAAAUAUUGUUAUAUCUAUAUUUUUACAUGGUCCUCCUCUCUCUCCCGAAACUCCCUCUAUAACCUAGAUUGCCGCCACCGGAGCGCACCGUCGGGCAAGGCGGCGGCGAGGCCCUGUUCCUUGGUUCGCUCGGUGGCCGUUGGCAAGGCGGUCUGACCACGGGUCGCGGCACACCCUUGGAGGCGGCGGCGGCCGGCCCUGGCCCUGUCCUGGAGGCACAAGCAGACUUUUGGUCGUGUCCCUGGCGGUGGAGCUAGUCUGUGCCAAAUUAAAAGUAAUGAAAAAAAAAAUCAAGUGACGCGGUCCAAUGGUGACGGAUCGUCGUCACCAAUUGAGUCUUUUAUAUGAGUAAAGAAACAUGUAACGUACCAUACUGUAAGUUGGGACGAGGAUUAGCAAAACAGGAAAAAAUAAUUAAGACCCAAUAAUAUUGACCUUUCUUUCUUUUAUUCAAAAGAAAAACAUGAAUUAACUAAGGCUUCUGCAAGAGAAGGUACGGUUCCACCCGACAAUCCGUCUCCCGACGAGCGA
rnacentral:lncRNA from 1 species